GUUCCAGUGGUUUAAUGGUAAACGAGCUGGCUUGCAUUGUAACCAGAAGGUCCUGGGUUCGAAUCCCGGUGGGUGCG
rnacentral:tRNA from 1 species